rnacentral:rRNA from 1 species
CCUACGGGAUGCAGCAGUGGGGAAUAUUGCACAAUGGGCGGAAGCCUGAUGCAGCGACGCCGCGUGAGGGAUGACGGCCUUCGGGUUGUAAACCUCUUUCAGCAGGGAAGCGGUACCUGCAGAAGAAGCACCGGCUAACUACGUGCCAGCAGCCGCGGUAAUACGUAGGGUGCGAGCGUUGUCCGGAAUUAUUGGGCGUAAAGAGCUUGUAGGUGGUUUGUCGCGUCUGCUGUGAAAAUCCGAGGCUCAACCUCGGACUUGCAGUGGGUACGGGCAGACUAGAGUGUGGUAGGGGAGACUGGAAUUCCUGGUGUAGCGGUGGAAUGCGCAGAUAUCAGGAGGAACACCGAUGGCGAAGGCAGGUCUCUGGGCAUACUGACACUGAGAAGCGAAAGCAUGGGGAGCGAACAGGAUUAGAUACCCCAGUAGUC